GAUCCUGGCUCAGAUUGAACGCUGGCGGCAUGCUUUACACAUGCAAGUCGAACGGCAGCGACGGGGGCAACCCUGGUGGCGAGUGGCGAACGGGUGAGUAAUAUAUCGGAACGUACCCGGAAAGUGGGGGAUAACGCAGCGAAAGUUGCGCUAAUACCGCAUAUGCCCUGAGGGGAAAGCGGGGGAUCCGCAAGGACCUCGCGUUUUCGGAGCGGCCGAUAUCGGAUUAGCUAGUAGGUGGGGUAAAGGCCUACCUAGGCGACGAUCCGUAGCUGGUCUGAGAGGACGACCAGCCACACUGGAACUGAGACACGGUCCAGACUCCUACGGGAGGCAGCAGUGGGGAAUUUUGGACAAUGGGCGAAAGCCUGAUCCAGCCAUGCCGCGUGAGUGAAGAAGGCCUUCGGGUUGUAAAGCUCUUUCAGCCGGAAAGAAAGCGCAUGGGUGAAUAACCUGUGUGGAUGACGGUACCGGAAGAAGAAGCACCGGCUAACUACGUGCCAGCAGCCGCGGUAAUACGUAGGGUGC
rnacentral:rRNA from 1 species